ACAAGACUAUUGGAAGAACCCAGCUGUAUAUAUCCGUAGAAAAGAAAGAAAAGUAAAAGAAUACGCAUCCAAGCAAGCUCUCUUCUUGCAGCUGCGCAUAAAGUGAGACCAGAGACAUUUCAGGACAUUUCAGCAUUUUAUGUUUUUGUUGUUUUCCUUUCUCCCAUGUACUAGUAGUAAUAUGGAUAUUAGAGUUGGUGAGGCAAAGCUAUGAGUGUUGUAGAAGACAAUCGUACUAGGAUUCAGAGGCAUCGGGACAUGUUUAGGUCUGAAGGAGCGUUAGUGUCUCCCAUCGUCACUAGCUGCAGCGUCAAGCCACCCCCUCUCCGUCCGCCGGCCACGCUCCUGGAUCUCGCCUGCGGUCGGCCAGCAUCGAUCAUCCAUCCACUGGACGGAAAGACAGAGAGGGAGCGGGCCUGCCUGCUGCAGAUAUGGCCGGAGAUCCGUUCUCUGCAAUUUGGUAGGAGGAUGCAGCUGCGGCGUACAUAUGUGUUAUAAGUCACUGGGCUCGGUUGGGCUGCGGCCUGUUUCCACGUAAUGGGCCAUGGAGGAAAGGAGGGCUCCAAGAGCAAUUCGGUUGAGCCCAACCGAGCUGCUUUGGUGCUUUUCGAUGGAAGAGUCCUCAGGCCUCAAUAUUUUGUCCUUAAGUAGCUUUAGAAGAGCCCAUCUCGCUGUUAGACGGGGAGAUUGUCCUUUCAAUGAAAAUGAGCUAUUCUCCAAAAAAAAAAAUCAAUGACAAUGAGCUUAUGUUUUGAUCCGAGCGUGAGAUGACAUUGUCAAAACAGAAGUCCUGUGUCAAAAAAAGUUAGUUAUGUAGCGAAUAUAUGCGUACCAGUGGAAAGUUCACAAUGAGCUUCUUUUUAUUAUGAUUUGUCCAAGCUUCAAUUAAUAACUUCUCCGUGCAAAGUUCACA
rnacentral:lncRNA from 1 species